UACGUAGGGGGCAAGCGUUGUCCGGAAUCAUUGGGCGUAAAGCGCGUGUAGGCGGUUCAGUAAGUCUGCUGUGAAAGUCCAGGGCUCAACCCUGGGAUGCCGGUGGAUACUGCUGGGCUAGAGUACGGAAGAGGCGAGUGGAAUUCCCGGUGUAGCGGUGAAAUGCGCAGAUAUCGGGAGGAACACCAAUUGCGAAGGCAGCUCGCUGGGACGUUACUGACGCUGAGACGCGAAAGCG
rnacentral:rRNA from 1 species